rnacentral:rRNA from 1 species
UACCAGACUCCUACGGGAGGCAGCAGUGGGGGAUAUUGCACAAUGGGGGAAACCCUGAUGCAGCGACGCCGCGUGUGGGAAGACGGUCCUCUGGAUUGUAAACCACUGUCCCCAGGGACGAAGAUGACGGUACCUGGGGAGGAAGCUCCGGCUAACUACGUGCCAGCAGCCGCGGUAAUACGUAGGGAGCGAGCGUUGUCCGGAAUUACUGGGUGUAAAGGGAGCGUAGACGGCCAAGCAAGCCAGGGGUGAAAGCCCGGGCCCCAACCCCGGGACUGCCCUUGGAACUGCACGGCUGGAGUGCGGGAGGGGCAGGCGGAAUUCCUGGUGUAGCGGUGAAAUGCGUAGAUAUCAGGAGGAACACCGGCGGCGAAGGCGGCCUGCUGGACCGAAACUGACGUUGAGGCUCGAAAGCGUGGGGAGCAAACAGGAUUAGAUACCCCGGUAGAC